GGGCCCGCACAAGCGGUGGAGUAUGUGGUUUAAUUCGAUGCAACGCGAAGAACCUUACCAGGGUUUGACAUCCUGCGAAUCUCUUGGAAACAGGAGAGUGCCUUCGGGAACUGUAAGACAGGUGCUGCAUGGCUGUCGUCAGCUCGUGUUGUGAAAUGUUGGGUUAAGUCCCGCAACGAGCGCAACCCUUAUCCUUGUUUGCCAGCGAGUAAUGUCGGGAACUCCAGGGAGACUGCCGGUGAUAAACCGGAGGAAGGUGGGGACGACGUCAAGUCAUCAUGGCCCUUACGAGUAGGGCUACACACGUGCUACAAUGGCGCAUACAGAGGGCAGCAAGCUAGCGAUAGUGAG
rnacentral:rRNA from 1 species